CUUGUCCCGUUUGAGCUACAGAUCGCUUCAGUUAAGUUCGUAACCUCGUUUGAACUGAAGGAACUUAGGUACUAUUGACCAAAAAAAUCUAGCCGUCCAUCAAUGACUUGCGCGUUUAAUGUGUAUCGCUCACUUAUGGUGUGCGCACGAUUGGGCACGACUCUUCACAGUCCAGCUUUUAAGUUUCACGUAAUUUUCUCACGAAGAGGCAAGGUGAUGCUUUGCAUGUAGUUCAAUAGACAGUGCACGAACUUCGAACUAUUCACUAUUUAUAGACAAUACCGUUUUCGCCGCAUCACUCCAUGACGCGGACGAAAACAGCGCACGGGGAGUAACUGUUGCCGUUCGUCCUCCCGUUGCUCUCUUUCCGACCAGGGACUAAACACUUACUCUCCGAAGUUUGCACACGGCACGCACAUUCAUGCAGUUAGUCCUCUGAGGGACGAAAGCGCCCUUUUUAGGACUAACGGCCCAGUUACUCCCGUUUUCCCGGGGAUUUUUCUUAGAGAUGUGCAAGCGCGCCACUUGCUGGACAUGUUCUCUAUAAGAUGAAGUAUUUAUUAGCCCUACUUUUGAGAAACGGUGUUUUAGACAAAUUUUGGGCACCAUCCCCCCUUAGAGAGGGCGGACGGUUUCGGCGAAAUUCUUGAUAGGACGACGGAAAUACGAGCAUAGCCCAACAAGGCUUCUUACGUCUGCGGUGGAAGACGGAACAGGAAAGUUCUGGACAGCGCGAAUCUUGUCAGGGUCAGGUUGAACGCCAGCAGCACUGGCGAGAUGGCCAAGAACGGUAAUUGGACGACGUACAAAGUGGCACAUGAAUGAGUUCAGUUGCAGGCCAGCGCAUCGGAAAACAGCAAGUCGGUAGACGCGUUAGAUGACUCGUGAAAGUUGGUGAAAACUCUAUGGCAUCGUCUCGAUAACACAGGCAUGUGGACCAUUUAUAGCCGCGAAGUAAGAAGUCCAUAGUUCUUUCGAAGGUUGCCGGCGCCCAACUAACCACGGGAACUGCCAGGUUCACACGUUCUUCACAUAAAACCUUAUGAGAAUCGUAUCUGUGGCCCUCGUUCGAGAUUCCUGAUAACAAACGAGAAAGCCAGACUUCAGUGCUUAUUUCAACCAACCUAAUGCCUAACUUCUUUUUUUUCUUUUUCCCGGGAACGCCACAGUUAUCGAGGGACCGAGAUGAAAAUGAUCAAACGGAUGAAAGCCACGUGGUGCGCUACUUGUUCCAGUACCAGCGCCUCUAAUGCAAAACGUGCUGGUCUACCGCUUCAACUAUGAAUUAAACCGAUUCAUGAAGUGGCAUUUAAAACGUAAAAAAAAGUACUAUCUAUGCGCAAAAAUAAAAUAUUUGCUUCUCCAAACGCGCUUCAGCAAGUCAAGUUUCUGCAAUGGUGACGGAUAACCACACCUAUUCUGCUCUGUAAGCAAUGAAUUACCCAAAAUAGUUUGUUUCCACGAACUUCCAAUCUCAAUGCUUAUCUGCGAAAAUCAGCGCGAGGACGAGCCACGAUCGCAGCAACACCGACCGCGCAUUUUGUAACUGACUCGUACAACAAACAAUACAAAUAAAUUCUGAGCGUAACGCGAAACCUUUGAAAUUAAAACAAGUAAGCGCUUAAUAACUAACAAACAAACAAAAAUUGCCUCGCGCUCUAUUUACAAGUCAAAUUUACGGAUGCGCCACCUCUUAAUGCGCACUCGAUUGGGCCACCGGCCUUCGGGCCUCGCCGAGGGCAACAAAGGACGUCAGCAGUGUACACUGUUGUCGCCUCCCACUUUGUGCGCCCGCGGCUUGCUUUCUUGUCCCUGAAGGGGAGGCCGUAAACGCGGGAAGAAUAGCCAGUCUCCCUUUGUCCUCUCUCUCGCGGCGCAUUCCACUGCAGUGACUGUCGGAUAUCUCAGCCCGGUUGAACCUUUCAGCCGCACUCGCAGAGACGCAACGGCCGCAACGAACCUUUUCAAGUUCUGCGCGGCGGCCUGUUCCUUUGUCUUACGGGCUGAGGUGUGGCGCCUUUCUCGACUUCUCGCCGUGCCGAACACUUCGCCCGUUUUAACUUGCACCGCCUCAAAACUUUUUGCCAUGCCAGGCGGUCACUGAAUGUGCCUUUGAAAAUCCCUGAGCGUCAGGUUCCUGCCCUGCUUCUCUCGAAGGUUGCAACGUGGGCUUGUUGGUAAUGCAUCUUCAAGGGGCAGGAAAGCGCUGUGUGUGUCGCUGUGUGUCUUGUUUCGUCCCGUCUUUUAAUCGCAGGCCACUUCCUCUCAAUAUGGAGCCUACUCAGCGAAUGCGGCGCCUUGCAUAUGCCAAGAGGCAUGCCAAGGCUACGAGUUCACUCCCCUUGACUGAACGCAUCGUAUACACGGACGCUGCACUGCCUGCAGACGACGCUAGUAACACCUGUUAUGCCACUGCGUGGUACGACCAGACAAAUGAAAAUCAGAACCGCCGCCAUCAUGUAUCAGCAGAAGCAAUGACCAGCACCCGCGAUCCCGUACUGCAGAAGAUCCGGCACCAGGCACGCCUGCUCCGCGAAUGCGGUCACGAUGUUACCAUCCACUGGGUCCCUGCGCACUGCGGUAUCCCCGGAAACGAGAAGGCUCAUAGACUGGCGCGCGCUCAUCUCUCUACCGCGCUAGCCAGAGCCUCCGAUACUCCUUAUCCUCUCCUAGCUACCACACCUGAGGUAGCACACCCGAUGGCAGACAAGCAUGCGACCAAACAACGACGUGCCGCCUACCUGACAGCAGUGGGCUCUAUACACUCUCUAUACCGUCUCUUCCACCCAAGGUAUUCACACGGCGAGAGUCAGUUUUGUUUCGGAGAAUUCAGACAGGCACCCUCCUUACUCCUCACUUGUUGAACCGUUUCCACAGGGGUGGCACACCACCACCCCAAAGUGGGUUCUGUUCCACGUGCAUAUGUGCUGAUCUCAACCACCUUUGUUGGGAGUGCCCCCUCUGCAUCCCACCAAGGCUUCGUGCCCUGGCCACCAUACAGCGGGGACCCUGGCCUUCUUCUCUCCGGACUUGGGCUUGCCCGGAUACCACGUCUCCGGACCAUGCCAUCGAGCUCUGGCGAGCGCUGCUGUUGUUCCUCCGGGACCCAGUGGCACCACCCGUCGGCGAUCGGCGCCGCGACAGCCACAAGCGUCAUGCGGCCCCCACUUAGCUGCCUCCAGGACGUUCGUUAAUAAAACGGAGGCAGCCUUACCCUUCCCCUUUUGCAAUAACACCCCUCCACUUUCCACUGCAGCGUCUUCGGCGCAUUUUAAUGUGGAAUAAACGUGGUUUCAUUCAUUCAUU